rnacentral:tRNA from 3 species
GCGCCCGUAGCUCAGUUGGAUAGAGCAACGGACUUCUAAUCCGUAGGUCGCAGGUUCGAAUCCUGCCGGGCGUACCA